UACGUAGGGCGCAAGCGUUGUCCGGAAUUAUUGGGCGUAAAGAGCUCGUAGGCGGCCUGUUACGUCUGCUGUGAAAUCCCGGGGCUUAACCCCGGGCGUGCAGUGGAUACGGGCAGGCUGGAGGCAGGCAGGGGAGAACGGAAUUCCCGGUGUAGCGGUGAAAUGCGCAGAUAUCGGGAGGAACACCUGUGGCGAAAGCGGCUCACUGGACCACAACUGACGCUGAGGCGCGAAAGCUAGGGGAGCAAACAGG
rnacentral:rRNA from 1 species